CAGUGCAAUAAUACAAAUUAGUUUUCUAUCCCAAACAGACCAACAAACUAGGGAUAAAACACCUAGCUUUUUAGUCUGAUUGGGAUAGAAGACUAAACCCUGUGUGUUUGGUCUCACCUCUCACUCCACCGCUCCCGGUAUCUCCACAGGUGAUUUUCGCGCUGGUGCAGCCGUGUGGUGACUUUGACACACCCGCCCACAGCACUUGGGGCUGGUUUCCGAACGGAGCUCCAUUGAUGUUCCUGAGCAGCAGUUUAUUGCCCCUUUAUUAGUCCGUGCCCCGGCCGGAGCGGCGCUGGCGGGAGCCGCUCUCCCCCCGAGCCCUGAGGGCGCAGCGAUGGCGGCGCCGCUCCCUCAGCGCCGCCCCGGGGCGGAGCGGGCGGCCUUUGGCGCCGGGCCGGGCCCGCGGGUGCUGCGGGCUGCGCUCGGCCAUGGCCGCCCCCGCCGAGCCCGGGGACCCGCCCGGCUUCCAGAGGCCGCCGGCGAUGCUGCGGCUGAAGCGCAAACGCCGGCAGAGGAGCGAACCCGCCGCUGCCGCCGCCGCCCCGGCCCCGCGGGGCCCCUCCGCGCCCGCCCGCCGCAACCCCUUCUGCAGCCUGAACAACAACAACGAGCCUCAGCGGGCGGCGGCCCCUCAGCCCCCGGCCCCGGCGGGCGGGGAUCCAUCGGCAGCGCCCUUCUGGCAGUUUUUAGAGCCUGCCUGUGAAGAGAAGCCCCCCGGGAGAGCAGAGCCCGCGGGAGGAGGCGACAUCCUCGCCCUGACCGAGGGAGAAGAGUCCUUUCCCUGCUCCAGCCUGGGCUCCUCUCUCCAUGGACUGCACUUCCCUGCCAGGACCCUGCUCCAGGUGGGGUGCCCACAGAGUCACAGCUUCCUUCGGGCAUCCCCCUGAUCCAGGGGGCUCCUCCAGGGGCUGCAGGUGGGUCUCUGCUCCACCAUGGACUUCCAGAGGCUGCAGGUGGAUCUCUGCUCCCUGUGGACCUCCAGAGUCUGCAGGUGGAUCUCUGCUCCCUGUGGACCUCCAGAGUCUGCAGGUGGAUCUCUGCUCCCUGUGGACCUCCAGGGGCUGCAGGUGGAUCUCUGCUCCCUGUGGACUUUGUUUGGGUUUGCCUGGCCAGGUUUUGGUAGCAGGGGGGCUGCAGGGGUGGGUUCUGUGAGCAGCUGCUGGAAGCUUCCCCCAAGCCCAGCUGGGUCCAGGACGCACCAAGGCCGAGCCCAGCAGAGACGGCAGUGACGCCUCCGGGAGAACGGGCUGGAGAGGGGAAAAUAAAGUCCUGGCAGAGAUGGAAUUGCACUCCCAGAAGUGAGGAGUGAGAGCAGGGGAGAGGAAGAGCCCUGCAGAGCCCCGAGCCCACUCCUGUGCCGUGUGUUCCCAGUCCUGCAGUGCGAGCUCCCUGUCGCUGUCAUCUUCCCACUGGGACAGCAUGGAGGCUCUGGAGCCUUCCCAGUGGGAAAACUCUUGUCCAGCAGACUCUUGGUCUUGGGACAGCUCUUCCCAGUCAGACAGUAGUUCUUGGUAGCUACUGAAUUUUCCUUGGGACUGCCCUUCCAUGCUGGUUUCUUCCCAGCUGGGCAGUUUUUGGGAGCUGCUGCCUUUUCCUUGGGACUGCUCUUCCUCGCUGUAUUCUUCCCAGUCGGAAAAACUCUUGGCCAAAGGAGUCCCCGGCGUUCUCUGGGUGCCAGGGUUUGUCCCAGGUGUUGUAACCAACAUCAUCUCCCCACUGGGACAGCUUGUCCUCAUUCCCAGUGGAGGGGUAACUCAUUUAGUCUUUAAAUGGGACCAAAAAUGCAGAGGGUAAAAUGUAAAUAAAACAGAAAUAUGUAAAUGUAAAUAAAAAUAUAAUUGUGUAAAUGCAAAUAAAAUAUAAAUAUGUAAAUAAACAUAA